rnacentral:rRNA from 1 species
AUGGCUAAUGAAGCCACAAACCAUAUUAACAUAUUCACACACAAAUCUUGUCCCACGCAUAUAUUCUGGUCCCACACCUAUUGCAAACCAUCAUCCAAUUAUGUGCAGAAAAAUCUGAAAAGAGCUCCUUGCGAAACGGAAACCUACAGAUCAUUGCAACAAAACAAAAAGGGAAAAGGGAGUGUGUGGCAGCAUCCAAAAACAAGGGAAAAAAUGCUUGAUCUGAAUGAGUUGCCUCCAGAUCUCAAUGAGCUUCCUCAUGAUACAGAUCAGCAGCAACCCAGCAUACAACAAGGAAACUGCACAGAAAAUGGUCGAUCAGUUUACUACACGCAGGCAAGUCGUGAUGGUAACCCUACGGGCCAUGACAAUGUGGCAGGCUAG